rnacentral:rRNA from 1 species
UGAGGAAUAUUGGGCAAUGCCCGCAAGGGUGACCCAGCAACGCCGCGUGGAGGAUGAAUGUCGUAAGAUUGUAAACUCCUGUUAGAGGGGAAGAAUAGUACCGGUUGGACCGGUAUAUGACUGUACCCUCAGAGAAAGCCCCGGCUAACUACGUGCCAGCAGCCGCGGUAAUACGUAGGGGGCAAGCGUUGUCCGGAUUUACUGGGUGUAAAGGGCGCGCAGGCGGGAUAAAAAGUCAGUGGUGAAAUCCUACAGCUUAAUUGUAGAACUGCCUUUGAUACUUUUAUUCUUGAGUUCGGGAGAGAGAGACGGAAUUCCAGGUGUAGUGGUGAAAUACGUAGAUAUCUGGAAGAACACCAGUUGCGAAGGCGGUCUCUUGGUCCGACACUGACGCUGAGGCGCGAAAGCGUGGGGAGCAAACA